ensembl:lncRNA
CUUAUUGGAUGGAGAGCACAUGUCCAUGCCUCUGAACUGCAGGGCCUCACAGACGCUUGGAGAGCACUUUUUCCUGCUUGCAUUCAUCUAUACCUGCACCUCCACUGUUGACGUUGUGGCUGAAUUGUCAGCUGUCACACUUUUCAAAAUCCACAAUAGGUAUCUGGCAAGGAAGAACAUCAUGGAGGAAUGGAGGGGUGGAGGAGAGCUGUUCACCUCAUGAGAGCUGGAGAGCAGAGAAACAGAAAAAGAGCCAAAGAGUGAUGGAGCCAGGUAUUUCUUCAAUUUCAAGAAUUUAGAAGUGACUUGGCUGGAAGUUUCCGCAUUGGAGACUCUCACAAAGUUGCAUUCAGAUGGUGGUUGGUUCCAAAAACAUUUCAAGGCUUCUUCACUCACUUGUCUGAUGGCUGGGUUGGGGAAGAGGACCAAAGUCACUUCAUGAAAUGAGAUAGACUGUCACAGUCAUCAUUGAAAAAGAGGUACACAGUGUGGUGUACUUUUCAUUUAUUCCAUUCUUGUUUUUUGGGUAUCAGCAUGAUUUUAUAGUUUCAUUUGUAUAGGUUUUGCACAUUUCAUGUUAAAAUUAUUCAAAAUGUUAUAAUUGUUGUUUUGUUUGCAAUUGUAUUAUUUUCCUUUUUAUUUCUAUCUUAUAUUUGUUACUAUAAUAGACAGCU